rnacentral:rRNA from 1 species
UACGGGGGUGGCAAGCGUUGUUCGGAAUUACUGGGCGUAAAGGGCGCGUAGGCGGUUGGAUAAGUUGGUGGUGAAAACCUCGAGCUUAACUCGGGGCCUGCCAUCAAUACUGCCCGGCUGGAGUGUGGGAGAGGAGAGUGGAAUUCCCGGUGUAGCGGUGAAAUGCGUAGAUAUCGAGAGGAACACCUGCGGCGAAGGCGGGUUGCUGGGCCGACACUGACGCUGAAGCGCGAAAGCCAGGGGAGCGAACGGG